rnacentral:misc_RNA from 1 species
AAUAAUUUUAUUAUACUAUAUGAUAAAAUAUUUAAUAAAUAAAUUACAUGAAUAUAAUUUAAUAAAAAGGUUCUCAGGACCUAAAGCAUAUCCUCUCAUUGGAAAUCUACAUAUAUUUCUUGGUGAUAUCAAGGAUAUAACUAAAAAAUUGUUAAAAGCAAUUGAAUACUCUCCAUCACCAUGGCGAUUAUGGUUAGGGCCAAAAUUAUUUGUAUUAUUAGAUGAUCCGAAACAUAUUGAAAUUAUUUGUAAACAUUCAAAUGCUUUUGAGAAAAGUCUCGUAUAUGAUUUUAUGAAACCUUGUAUAGGUAAUGGUUUAGUAACUGCUCCAGCAUCAAUAUGGAAAACUCAUCGAAAAUUGUUAAAUCCAAUAUUCAAAGAAAAAUCUCUUUCUAUCAAAGUGGACAAGAUAAUAAAACAUUCAAAUAGAUUUGCAAAAAUUCUUGAAAAUUCUAAUGAAAAAGAAAUAGACAUUUCGCAUUACAUAAAUCUUUGUACUUUGGAUACGAUAUAUGAUACAGUUUUAGACCGGGAUUUUAAUUUCCAAAAUAAUUUAGAAGGAGGACUUCGUGACCAUAUUUCAGUAUUAAUUGACAUAGCGACCCAAAGGAUCUUCAAAUUUUGGUUGCAUCCGAAUAUCAUUUUCUAUAAUCUAUCUGUAGGAAAAAGAUUCAGAGAAGCUUUAUCACAUUUGGAUAAAAUCACCUCAGAGAUAAUAAAGGAACAGAAGGAAUCGAUGCAAGAAAAGAAAAUUAAUGGCGAAAUGAAAGAAAAAGAUGCAACAAAAUAUACUCCUUCAUUUCUUGAUUCGUUAUUCAAAUCAUUCUACGAGGGAAAAGAAUAUACGGAGCAAGAUAUUAGAGAUGAAAUCAAUACAAUAGUUAUGGCUGGAGGCGAUUCAACCGCUGGUACAAUUUCUUUUGUAUUUUUAAUGUUAGCAACUUACCCAAAAAUUCAAGAACAAGUAUACGAUGAGCUCUACCAAAUAUAUGGUUUAACCGAUCCUGAAGAUGAGCAUAUUACAUACGAAGAUAUUAAGAAUAUGAAAUUUUUGGAUCGAGUGAUGAAAGAGACUUUUCGUCUUUUUCCUCCCAGUCCUUUUAUUGCACGAAAUGUGUGUGAAGAUAUAGAAGUGAGCGAGGGUGUAAUAGUACCAAAAAAUUCUACUUGUGUACUCAUGCUUUAUGCACUUCAUCGAAACGAAAAAUAUUGGAAAGAUCCUCUACAAUUUAAUCCUGAUAGGUUUUUACCUGGCAAUUACAAUACUAAACAUUUUUUACCAUUCAGCAUUGUUCCAAGAGUAUGCAUUGGUUUGAAUUUUGCAAUGCUCGAAAUCAAAGGAAUAAUUGCUACUGUAUUAAGAAAAUUUUCUGUUCAUGUAGAUGUCCCACAAAAAGUGGAAGACAUAGCUCUACAAUUCGGUAUAACAAUGAAACCUGCGAAAAAGAUUUUUUUAAGGUUUAGGAAGAGAUAAUACCUAUUAUUAUUGUCAAUAUUUUUUGAAAAUUUAAUAAUCUUUUUAUAAAUUGUUUAAAAAUAAGAAGUCUUCCAGUCCUGUUUUCAGGAUACGUUUUGUUUUAGUAGACCUUUCCCUUGUUCCACUAGUUUAUUUAUGAUUGUUAAGUCAUUACCGGUUUAUGAUCGGAGGUGAUUGUAGACGAUUGAAUCAUAUUCAAACGUCGCUUGUCCUAGACUUUUCCAUCUUAACGGGACUGAGUAAUGACAUAUUCGUCAUCCUUUCACCAUUUCUAUCUCCCAACUACACACGGGAUACGACGCCCUGCUAGGCCAUCAAAAGGAAUCGCUCGUCCUCUUUUUCCUGAGGAAACCUAUGAUGACGUAUCUUACAUUAGCAGCAAAAGAGAACUAUGCAGCACAUACAAAUAAGAGUAUAAGGGAGGAAAGUGUAUCGGCAAUCCAUACACUUCCGCCACGGUAAUUUCCUGCCACGCAGGUGAGAUCCACUCAUUGUACUUACAUACAAUCGUGGAUAUAUAUAUAUUGAAGACUGUUAAUAAUUUAGUAUUAACCAAGUGUACACCUUACGCAUCCUUCAAAGCCAUUCCCAUCAUUUUUCAAAUUUUAGCUAUUUUUCAGGACGUGUAUGUAGUAAAUUUACAUUUUUAAAUUUUUUGUCAAGUCCGCCUGCAUGAUCACUGAGUGGAUUGAGUAGCUCAGUGGUUAUGUUGCCGGUCCCAAGCCCGGAUAAAGGAUGAAGGUUAAAAGAUUAGGUUAGCUCCCUGCCUGGCGUAAAACAUAUAACACGCUCACAGACCCGCAGAAUCGCCUCGGAUUAGGACUGAUACACGGAAAACGACCCAGGCACGGAAAAGGACAGUGAGUUGGAAACGGAAAAAUAUCCUGAGAAUAGCUUCCUGAGAAUAGCAUUCAACAAUAAAGAGCAAGAAAUAACAGAAGAGCUAAAAAAUAUGAAAGUAGACGUUGCUGCAUUACAGGAAACAAAACAAAAGGCAAAGGUCAAAAAGCGUACGGGGAAUAUGUGGUAAUAUAUAGUGGUGUUGACAAGAAUGAAAGAGCUAAAGAAGGCGUGGCUAUCGCCUUACAUAAGAAAUACACCAACCAAGUGGAAAAAUGCCAAUAUAUAUAUAUAUAUCAUAACCACGUAUAGUAAUGGUAAAGUUGAUGACCGAACCAGAACCUCUGCAUAUAAUAUCGGUCUACGCGCCAGAAGACAACAAGCUGAAACAAGAAGAGGAAACUUUUUUUAAUGAACUUUAGAGUAUCGUGGAGUCAGUACCACCAAGUGAAUCAAUUAUCAUCUUCGGAGAUUUUAAUGCUCGCAUCGGUAACGAGCCAAUCUUCGGAGUCAAGCAACGGUUCAACAAAAACAUAAUUAAUGAUAACGGGAAACUUAUGAUCAACCUCUGUUCUCUGACAGGGCUUAAAAUCAAUAACACCUACUUUAACCAUAAAGCCCAACACAAAUAUACGUUUGGUAACAGCCGCGAUCAAAAGUCAACUAUUGACUACGUUGUGACGAGCAGAUGCAUACCACCUUCCGAAAUCUUAGAUGUCAGAGUGCUUAACUCAGCUGAUGUGGGAAGCGAUCAUGGUUUACUCCUGGGCAAAUUUUGAUUAAAGUAUAGCUUCAAAAGAAAACAGCAACACCCAGUCAGAGCAAGAGAAAAAAUUAGGGUAGAAGCUCUCUAGGACCCAACUAUCCGUGAUCUUUAUAGAAAAUGAUUAGAAGAAAAAGUUGAACUGCAUCCAACCACUAACUUGGACGAUCUCAAAAUAAUUUGGAGCUAACUAACAACAAACAUCAGAACUGCAGGUAUAGAAUCUGUAGGAAUAACAACAUACAAAAGCCAAGGUUUCACAAAAAAUAAAACAUCAUGGUUCUGAGAAGAAGUUAAAAAACAGUGCAGAAAGAAGAAAGAAGCAUACAUAGAGUAUCUAACAACCCGAACUGCUGAGUCAUCCAACGCAUAUAAACAAAUUCGGAAUGAAACCGGUACUAUGGUGAGACAACUAAAAGACAAGUACUAGGAGAUCUUUUCAAAGCGACUAGAAAGAUACUUUUACUGGCUCCAGAAACAGAUGUGAUGAUUCAUAAGAAGCCAAAAGAAAGAAACAAGCGAGUUAAUACCCGCUAGUCAAAUUAGUAAGGAAACGUGGACCAGUUACCUUAAAGACCUAUAUAAAGGUGCACCCAUGCAACAACCAGCACCGAGUGUGGUAAUGGACGACCAGAUAUGAAUAAUUGAGUCGGACAUUAGAAAAGCACUACAUAAACUCAAAAAUAAGAAAAGUCCGGGUCGGAUGAUAUCACUAACGAACUUCUCAAGUAUAGCGGCAAAAGAUUGCUUCAGGAGUUGACUGUAUUAACACAAAAAAUUUUUGAACAACAAAAAAUUCCCGACGAGUGGCGAACAAGCAUAACAAUCCUUUUUUUAAAGAUAGGUGACAAGAAGGUGCCUGCGAAUUACAGAGGAAUAAAUCUACUGUCUUUCACCCUGGAAUUAGUGACCAAAGUCAUAACAAACCUAAUAAACGAGCGAAUCACACUAACUGUUGAACAACAAGGUCUCCAAACUGGACUAUCAUGCACAGAUGCAGCGUUUGUUAGCAGACAAAUAACUGAAAAAUCUAUAGAAUAUAAUAAACCAGCAUUUUUCUGUUUUAUAGAUCUAGAAAAGGCGUUCGACCGGAUACGGUUAGAGGAUAUAGUGCACCUUCUGUAUGACAGACAAAUACCAAGUAAAAUCAUUAAAACUAUCGAAGACAUCUACCGAAAUAAUUGAAUACAGACAAAGAUAAACAAUGAACUUACAGAACCCAUAAUGGUGGAAAGAGGUAUUCGACAGGAUGACUCACUGAAUCCCAUACUUUUUAAUAUUAUAACGGAUGAAAUCAUAAAGAAGGUACGCGGACAAAGAAGAUAUCGAAUGGGGAACCGAGAGAUAAAAAUCUUGUGUUACGCCGAUGAUGCAGUCCUGGUAGCGGAAAAUGAGGAUGACCUGCAAAGGCUCCUGUAUACGUUCAACACAGUUGCUAAGACAAUCGGGAUGUCUAUAUCUGUUAAAUUUAUCUAAAAUUGGUUGUGGAUCGGGUUGGUUGCAUGAUAACAAACUAGAAAGUAUAAGUAUUAUUAUUUAUUGUAACCAAUUAAUUCAAAACUUACAUAUUUUAAUGGUCAUAAGAAACCAAGUGCAAACGCUUCUACAUCACGUGGAGCUAUAUAUACGACUAACUACGGUAAAACAAAAAGGAAUCAUUCGAAAAAAUUCGGAUUGAUUCGGAUCGAUUCGGAUCGAGUCGGCCGCUGCCGCUCAAGCUUAUCAGCAAUACAUUGUACAUUCUUCAACAAUAUCAACAUCCAAGACUAAAUGCAUGACUACAUCUAAAAAACCCCUAAGAUGUAAAUUGGUUGUCGAUGACAAGAUAAUAUAACAAGUGAUAAAGUUCAACUACUAGAUAUAAAAUUUUCGAGCUUCGGUGACAUAGAGUCAGAAAUAAGAGGACAAGCCAUCAAGGCAGCAAGAACAGCCUCACUAUUAAACGACACCAUAUUCCGAAACAAGCAUCUAAGAAUAGAUGCAAAAGCGCUAUAAGGCCUAUACUAACAUAAGCGGCAGAAACAAGACCCGAAACAUCUAAAACACGCCAAAUCAUGGAAACAACUGAAAUUAAGAUAGUUCGCAGAAUAGCUAGGAAAUCACUAUGGGACAGAGUAAAAUGCGAAGACCUCAGAAAAGCAUGCCAGAUCGAGAAUAUCAACGACUGAGUAUUAAGCAGAAAAAUGAGUGGAAUGACCACAUAAUUCGCAUGACAGAGGACCGACGGUCAAAAUAUCCCGAGAUAAGUUACCAUCGGGGAGACGAAGCGUUGGAAGACCUCGAAAGCGCUGGAGCGACAGUCUGACUAUAUGAAGCGCGUCGCGAUGAAGAACAGACAUUGUGCCUAUUUGGAAGAAAGAACAAGAAGAAGAAAUUCAUUGUCCUUCACACAUCGAUGUUUUAUAUUAAAUAGUGUAUGGUGCACUUUUGAGAAACCUUGUCCAAAAUGUUUGCAACCAAUUCACAUUUUCUCCAUCAGUGUUUCUACUUAUCGUAUAUAUAUACAUGUCAUUUAGUCCAAGUAGAUUCGUACUUAGGACAUCCAGUCUUCAUCCUCGAAGAACCCUUAAUAAAUCGGCUUAUUAAAGGGCUAUUCGUGAUAUUCUCGAUCAAAGAUAACGCCGCCCUGGCUGAGUUUAGCGCGCUAUGUCCAACUCCAUCACUGAAUCUUUCCGUCAAUAAUUUCAAAACCUUCUCCACAGACAACUCAUAUGGAUCUCCGAUGACCUGAUUAUUCCAACGCCACCAGAGCUUCAAAGUUUCAUUGUAAUUUUUUAAUGUUGCUUUUGCUAGUUAAGCUAGCGAGAUAUCCACUGCUUCCUUAAGCAUGUCCUUGAUUACAAGUGCCUGGCUGAUAACCUGGCGACAACUAGGGUAAGUCUUGCAGCCAAAGGAUGAUGACGUGACCUGAGUAGGCCAGUAAGGUACAACCAAAAUACCUUUUGCUUUAUCAUUUUUGAUUUUCUUAAUCACUCUAGCUAUGAUGGAAAAGGGGAGAAAGGCAUAAAAUAUCCAAUCUGACCAACUAACUGUAAAAGCAUCAAACGCGAAGGCUUCUGGAUCUCCCUCCACGAGCAACCGCGCAUUUAGUAUUGAUUCGCGAAGAAAAUAGAUCGAUCCCCAGAUUCCCGAAUCUUCUGAUGAUUCUUUUAAACGCAUAGUCUGCUAAUUUUCACUCCGCGUCUGGGUUAUCGAUUCCUAGUGAUCGGUCAACCUCCACAUUUUCCUUCGACGGGAUGUACGAGGCGUAAACCCAUAAUUGGCGGCCCUCGCACCGAUUCCAUAGCUCACUCGCCAAGCUAUGUAGCCCGGCAUAACAGACACCACCAAUCCUAUUGAUAUAGGCCAUUGUUGUCGUGUUGUCCACCAUGAGUAAGCCAUUAGUGUCCCUCAGGUCCGUCGCAAAACACUACAAGGCCCAUAGUGUCGCUUUAAGCUCCAGGUGGUUUAUAUGAAGACUUCUCUCCUUCUGGCUCCAGAACCCAUUGGCGCUUUCACCUUUUUACUGGCAUCUGAGCUUGGACUUUCGUCCUUUCAAUGAUCUACAGUGUAACAAACUGUACUUAACUGCCGGACAACACGCUACUACUGUCCCCACAACCUUGCCAAAAUCACGAAUCUUCACCGUGUCCUUUUUCUUAAGAUCCUCGAUCUGUUUCUGUACUGAGACUAUUUUCUCUCUUGGAAGCUCCCUGUAAUCCUCAUUGUAAAUGGGUCAAAAAUAAAGCCUAAAUAUUAACGUCUUCUUUUGGGCUUCAAAUUGGACUUAUCAACAUUCCCAAUGAAUCAUAACCUCUCAUCCGAAGAUAGUUUAUUACCGGCUUCAACAACUUGGUAGUUGUUAAUGGACACGUGCAUAAGGGCAAACAAACAAACUCAUAAAUUUUCCCCUUAAGGGUAUACUGGUCUAGAAAUUAAAAAAAAUCGAUUUUUUUGUCUGUUUUUAAAGCUUAUCCUUUUGGAAUUUCCUUCUCGAGUUACUAGCAACGUAAAGGCGCGUUUUCCUGAACGCGAGGAACGGGCCGUGGGCAAGGAACAGGCCAAUGAGAACCCGUAAUGUAGGGAGAAAGAAAUUUCCUAUUUAACUUUGAUCUCCUGGGACGAGCUUUUAUUCACAGUAUGUGGUGUACCACGUGUUAGAGAAAUACAAAGAAAGUUUUAUAUAGAGUACAACGAGAAGCGUGACUAGCCGGUUCGGCGGACAAUGAGAGAGUGUCCGAGUGAAUGAACUCCCACGGCGAUCCAAGCAUCCGGAAGUAGAGAGGGCAACGGUCGCAGCGAUCACUUUGCAGCCCUGACCAAUCAAAUACGUUGUCAAGCUAAUUGGAUGCCCCUGCGUGGUGGUCAAGCCGCGAGGCCAGAGCGGAAAUGCCCCUGGUAGACCAGCGCACCCCUGCAGAGUCGCAUCACGUGGUGCAUAAGGAAGCUAGUGCUGGCGACCGAGAGGUGUCAGCACUUUUCCUGCACGCGAUGCUGCAGCUGCGCGCAGUCGGCCGAGAGGUGUCAGCACCGUGCUGGUGAGUGUGGCGAUACGUGCCUAGUGUAUCGACGCGGCACACUGGCGCCCUUCCUCCCUAUGCGGGUACUAGACUAACUAAACCCAAGUUGAACGUAACGGUCGAAAUGUAAGUUAGUCCUAUAUAUGGCGUCCAAGAGUUUAGUUGUAUCUUGUUAAUAAAUUUAUAUAUU